UGUAGGAUCAGAGCUAGUAUAGUGUGUAGAGGAGGUGUUUGCAGGAGCAGCCGCAGCCGCAGGCCCAUGUUAAUUUGCUGCGUUGGCUUCUUGUCUCUUUUCGUCAGUUUUCCGCCACCGAUGCGAAAGCACGGGGGUUCGAUAUAUCGAUGGAAUAAGAACAUGUUGACCCCGAAAAAAAAAUAUUAAUAACAGAAGAGAACAACACCCUCUCGAUCCACAAACGAACAUGCAUAAAACUAAUAGCCGC
rnacentral:lncRNA from 1 species